GCUUAUCUUGCCCAAGAGUCCAUAUCGACGGCAAGGUUUGGCACCUCGAUGUCGGCUCGUCGCAUCCUGGGGCUGAAGAAGGUCCCAAGGGGCGGGCUGUUCGCCCGUUAAAGCGGCACGCGAGCUGGGUUCAGAGCGUCGUGAGACAGCUCGGUCUCUAUCCGCUGUGCGCGAAGGAUAUUUGAAGGAAUCUGUUCCUAGUACGAGAGGACCGGAAUGGGCAAACCAAUGGUGUAUCGGUUGUAACGCCAGUUGCAUAGCCGAGUAGCUAAGUUUGUUAGGGAUAAGCGCUGAAAGCAUCUAAGUACGAAGCCCCUCCUGAGAUAAGAUAUCCCAUCUCUUUAUGAGAGUAAGAUCCCCGGAAGACUACCGGGUUGAUAGGCUACAUGUGUAAGUAUAGUAAUAUAUUCAGCUAAGUAGUACUAAUAGAUCGAGGAUUUGAUAAAUUU
rnacentral:rRNA from 1 species